ACACAGUUGGUCGCCGCACUUUGGUGAGACUUGUUUACAAAUACCUGCUGUCAGAAACUGGUCACGCAGUAGCGAUUGUAUGUUUUGCCGCACAAUGGAAGGGGAAACAUAAAUAUUACGUUCGAGAGCUAUUCUCUUGGAGACCAAGCCCCGCAGGUGUGGAGUUACGUCGGCAAGUCCCAUGGCGGAGGGAGGCACCAAGCUGACACUGAGGCGCCUGGAGGCUCCCAUUCACAAGUUCAUUAAAGUGGCUCUACCCACUGACCUGGAGCGGCUCCAGAAACACCACAACAACAUACUGAAGUACCAGCAAGGCCAACAAUGGGGCCGCCUUCAUCAGGAGCACAUAAAUGCCAGCCGAACAGUUCAGCAACUGCGAGCCAACAUCAGAGAGAUGGAGAAGCUGUGCACCCGUGUCCGCGCAGAAGACGCCGCAGCUCUGGAGAGGCUCAUCAAACCGGUCAAGGACAGGGCGUCGGCCGCUGCGCGAGACUUCCUGCAGUUGCACUCCAACCCCGCCCUUGAGCCCACGCCGUCUUCGCCGCCACCUGACUCCGGUCGGCCGUCCGGCUGCGGGCCCGGCGCUGGUGACGACAUGGACGAGGAGUUCGUUUCUGGCUGGCAAAUUCAGUCCCAGCUGCCGGAGAUCCCCGUAGAAGAGAGUGCUGCUGAGUCUUGGGAAAACCUGGAAGAGGAUCUGAAGCAGCUGAGUGGUUUGGUGACAAGCUUUUCUGUGCUCGUCCACUCCCAGCAGGAGAAGAUUGACAGCAUUGAGGACAACGUCAACACGGCUGCUGCCAAUGUGGUGGAGGGGUCCAAGAGCCUGGGGAAGGCGGUGGGCUACAAGUUGGCCAUCUUUCCUUUGGCCGGGGCGCUCCUUGGCGGCGCCCUAGCGGGUCCGCUGGGCCUGCUGAUCGGACUCAAAACCGCUGGCAUGGCCGCCGUGGGAGGCAGCGCCCUGGGCUUCGCCGGGGGGAGCCUGGUCAAGAGUCACCGCAAAAGCCUGUUAGCGCUGCAGAUGAAGCAGCUGACGGCGCCACCGGUUGACGCCGGGUCAGGCAAGGAAGAGUGAGUGGCGGCGUUUAUGGCCGGCCACGGGACGCCUGAUAGUCCUUGUGAGCUGCGAAACUAUUACGGAGUCAGGGUGUUGGGCGUUGCUGUUCUGUCCCGCUGGCCUGUGUCCUGACCCAAAGCCCCCCUCCCCGGACGUGCGUCCCCACCCCUCGAGGCGUGGCAUUGAGUCCAAAAGGGUGAGUGGAAGGAAUGGCGGCUGAGGUCACAGCUCGUCGCGGUCCCGUCUGAGGAUGGUGUAGCGAGUCUCGCUGGGCGCCAGCUUUUGGAAGGAGCUCUGUGGGGGGCUGCUGGCCGCGUCUCCCCUGAUCUCCUCCUGACAACAAACACAAACGCCAAGCAAUUGAAAAAAUAAAUUCAUCAAGGGUGACGUGAGCAUCUUUUGCUAAGAGGAGUGUCACAUGGCUAAAACAAUCUCUGCAUUUUAUGAGCUCUGUUCGAAGUACAGUGGUACCUUAAUAUUCGCUCUGUAAGUCGUAACUCAAAACACAAAUCAUCUUUCACCAUUGAAAUGAAUGGAAAUGCCAUUAAUCAUUUCCUGCCUCCCAAAAAAUAUAUAUUUGUAACGUAUUUUUUAAAAAGAGAAAUAUAGCAUUCUAUAAUUUAUACUUUUAAAAAGAUGACAAUCAAAAACGUAAAGAAUUAAACACUUUCUGCCACAA